GUUGGGCACUCUAAGUUGACUGCCGGUGACAAACCGGAGGAAGGUGGGGAUGACGUCAAAUCAUCAUGCCCCUUAUGAUUUGGGCUACACACGUGCUACAAUGGACAAUACAAAGGGCAGCGAAACCGCGAGGUCAAGCAAAUCCCAUAAAGUUGUUCUCAGUUCGGAUUGUAGUCUGCAACUCGACUACAUGAAGCUGGAAUCGCUAGUAAUCGUAGAUCAGCAUGCUACGGUGAAUACGUUCCCGGGUCUUGUACACACCGCCCGUCACACCACGAGAGUUUGUAACACCCGAAGCCGGUGGAGUAACCUUUUAGGAGCUAGCCGUCGAAGGUGGGACAAAUGAUUGGGGUGAAGUCGUAACAAGGUAGCCGUAUCGGAAGGUGCGGCUGGAUCACCUCCUUUCUA
rnacentral:rRNA from 1 species